rnacentral:rRNA from 1 species
GAGUUUGAUCCUGGCUCAGAUUGAACGCUGGCGGCAUGCCUUACACAUGCAAGUCGAACGGCAGCACGGGAGCUUGCUCCUGGUGGCGAGUGGCGAACGGGUGAGUAAUGCAUCGGAACGUAUCCUGGAGUGGGGGAUAACGUAGCGAAAGUUACGCUAAUACCGCGUAUUCUGUGAGCAGGAAAGCGGGGGACCUUCGGGCCUCGCGCUCUUGGAGCGGCCGAUGUCGGAUUAGCUAGUUGGUGAGGUAAAGGCUCACCAAGGCGACGAUCCGUAGCAGGUCUGAGAGGAUGAUCUGCCACACUGGAACUGAGACACGGUCCAGACUCCUACGGGAGGCAGCAGUGGGGAAUUUUGGACAAUGGGGGCAACCCUGAUCCAGCCAUGCCGCGUGAGUGAAGAAGGCCUCGGUUGUAAG